rnacentral:tRNA from 1 species
CCGGCUGUGGGUCACGCAGACCAGGAUCGCCUGUUCUUCGCGGGCGACCUCCAGAAGCAGCGUUCCGACCGCCGCGGCCGUC